rnacentral:rRNA from 1 species
GACGAACGCUGGCGGCGUGCUUAACACAUGCAAGUCGAACGAUGAAGUUCGGACGGAGGCUUCGGCCAACUGAAGAACGGAUUAGUGGCGGACGGGUGAGUAACGCGUGAGUAACCUGUCUUUCAGAGGGGAAUAACAUUUGGAAACGAAUGGUAAUACCGCAUAAAGUCACGGAACCGCAUGAUUCUGUGACAAAAGGAGCAAGCCGCUGAAAGAUGGACUCGCGUCCGAUUAGAUAGUUGGAGAGGUAACGGCUCCCCAAGGCGACGAUCGGUAGCCGGACUGAGAGGUUGAACGGCCACAUUGGGACUGAGACACGGCCCAGACUCCUACGGGAGGCAGCAGUGGGGAAUAUUGCACAAUGGGGGAAACCCUGAUGCAGCAACGCCGCGUGAAGGAAGACGGUCUUCGGAUUGUAAACUUUUGUUCUUAGUGAAGAAGAGUGACGGUAGCUAAGGAGAAAGCCACGGCUAACUACGUGCCAGCCGCCGCCGUAAGAC